rnacentral:lncRNA from 1 species
AGGCCAGACAGACAGGGGGCAUAGGACUGCAUAUUUGCUCUCAGAGUUACUUCUACAAGGACGAUAGGUUCAACUACAACUAUGCGCAGGCCAAAGCCACAGCAGGCAACUACAAGGAAGCAGAGGAGAUUUUUGUGCUCAUUCAGAGUGAGAAGAUCAAGAAUGACU